AGUGAGAAAAAUUAUACCUCUUGCAAUACUAAGCUAUGUAACGGAAGGAAUGGAGUUGAUGAUCGGAAAAUGUUAAUAAAUGAAUGACUUAUGUAAUGAGACCAAUAUAUAUAGCAGGGGUGUGGAGUCGGAGUAAAAAUUAACCAACACACACACACACACACACACACAGAGGGGAGGAGAGAGAGGAGGAAUAUGAGGAGAAAGAAGGAAGGAAGGGAGGAAAGGGAAGGAAGGAAAGGAAGAGAGGAAGAGAAAGAGAAGGUUAGUAAGGAGGAAGAGGAGGAAGAGAAGAGAGAGAAGAGAAGAAGAGGAAGAAACCAAUAUAUAUAUAAGCUCACACUCAAAAUAAAGACCUUAGUUAAUACAAUAAUCAAGUAUUCCUUAUAAUUUUCCCUGAAGUAGAAAUUUUAAGGGGGCACCAUUUCAUUUUUUUUCAUUAUUAUUUCAUUAUUUUCCUCUCAUCAUUAAAACACCAACACCAGACACACAGAGCUUAUAUAACAUGAUAAUCUACUUUUCUUCAUAAAUUACCCUGAUUCAGAGUCUAUCACAUACAGGGGUAGCGCAUUCCAAUUAUGUACUAUUCUGUUACAAAAAGAGUUCUUCCUUUUAUCCAACUUUGAUCUUUUCUUCAAUAUUUUCAUAGGAUGUCCUCCAGUUCUGCCAUUUUCCCACAGCACAAAAAUACCUUGGCAUUCAGUUCAAAAUCCAUAUGCCAGUUUCAUUAUUGCACGUGACACGGACGAAUUAGUGAGAAUAAAUGACAACUGUGAGUGUGAUUAUAAAAGAAAUAGUAAUAGUUAUAGAAGGUAUUUAAAAGGAGGACAGUUCAUCGCUCACAAAUAGCUUUCUCUUCACGCGGGAAAUAAUAAAAUAUACCUUAUGCUUCUCUAUGUCAAACUGUUUCCUAAGUUCUGUUAGGUGAGUAUUUAAAAGGACAGUUCAUCACUCACAAAUAACUUUCUCUUCACGCGGGAAAUAAAUAAAUAUACCUUAUGCUUCUCUACGUCAAACUGUUUCCUUAGUUCUGUAAUGUGAGUAUUUAAAAGGACAGUUCAUCACUCACUAAUAACUCUCUUCACGCGGGAAAUAAAUAAAUACCUUAUGCUUCUCUACGGCAAACUGUUUCCUUAGUUCUGUUUGGUGAGUAAACCAGGUGAGUAUUUAAAAGGAGAACAGUUCAUCACUCACAAAUAGCUUUCUCUUCACGCGGGAAAUAAAUAAAUAUACCUUAUGCUUCUCUACGCCAAACUGUUUCAUAAGUUCUUUUAGGUGAGUAUUUAAAAGGAGAACAGUUCAUCGCUCACAAAUAGCUUUCUCUUCACGCGGGAAAUAAAAAAAAUAUACCUUAUGCUUCUCUACGCCAAACUGUUUCCUAAGUUCUUUUAGGUGAGUAAACCAGGUGAGUAUUUAAAAGGACACUUCAUAACUCACUAAUAACUUUCUCUUCACGCGGGAAAUAAAUAAAUAUACCUUAUGCUUCUCUACGUCAAACUGUUUCCUUAGUUCUGUAAUGUGAGUAUUUAAAAGGACAGUUCAUCACUCACUAAUAGCUUUCUCUUCACGCGGGAAAUAAAAAAAUAUACCUUAUGCUUCUCUACGUCAAACUGUUUCCUAAGUUCUGUAAUGUGAGUAUUUAAAAGGACAGUUCAUCACUCACAAAUAACUUUCUCUUCACGCGGGAAAUAAAAAAAUACACCUUAUGCUUCUCUACGCCAAACUGUUUCCUUAUUUCUGUUAUUUCUUCAGCCUUGGGCCAAGAGUG